GCUGGGGUAGCUCAGUGGUAGAGCGCUUGCCUUCCAUGCAUGAGGCUCUGGGUUUGAUCCUCAGCACCACG
rnacentral:tRNA from 1 species